UAGCUUGAUAUGUUAUAUGUGAUAGUGGUAGUAGGAGGGGAAUAGUCCCCAAGUUCGGUCGUUAGGACCGAAGGGUAGGACGGGCACCCCAGAUAUGCCUGACAGUAUGCUUAUGUUGUGUAUUAUGAAGUAGUGGUAAGGGGUGAAAUAGUCCCCGAAACCGGUCAAGGUAAACUGGAGGGUAGUUUGGACACCCAGAUAUGCCUGACAUGGGUUAGGUUGAGCGCCACGGUAUGCUCAGCAGAGUAGGUCGGGCACCCAGAUAUGACUGACAUGGGGUAGGUCGGGCACCCUGGUAUGCCUGGUAGUAUGUGAUAUGGUAUGUAGUAUUAUGGGGGCACUAACUAUGCUUCGUGCUUAUAGAUUUCAGUUUUGUUUUCAGGUACCUCUUCAUCGAAGGGGAAGGAGUCGGCUCGAUAGUAGCGUAUCACACACAGGAUUUCUACAUUACGAGAUUCUUGGGAUUGUACUCUGACAUUGUUACUAUUUUUAUGAUAUGUUUUUGAGACAUGAUGUUAUGGUUUUAUGAAAUGACUUGACUCGAUGAUUUUUUCUUACAAAUGUUUUUCUAAAUCGUUAUAUCAAAAAUGAAAUUCUUGGUCUUGAAAAUCGGGAUGUUACCAGUUGAUAUCAGAGCCUUGGUUUGAGGGAUUCAGACACACCUUCGAGGGUUUGAAAGAUUUUUACAAGGAAAUGGUGUUAUAAGUUUUAAGAUAAAAAGGUUUUGAGAAAGAAUAAGGUGUGUGUUGCGUGCAACCAGCAGAGCUCAAGUAAGUUUUCCCCAAGAUAACCAUACAUGUUAUUUUAUGUUAUUUGAUAUGAUUAUGAGAACUGCAUGUUAGAUUAGGGAUAAGGAUCUAGGAAGGAUGCCUUAUGUGCCAAAUGUAUGAGCUUAUUGAAUUGCAUGCUAGGACUGAUUAGUCAACAAUAUGAUAGCCUGAUUAGGUUAUGCUUGGUUAUGGUUACUCAAUGCAAGAAUUUUGCUUUCUUUGUGCUUAUGGGGUCCUAGCAAGCUUAAACUAACUAGUAAACAAAUAUGCUAAAGUUAUAUAUUACAAGGACUGAAUAAUUUCAGAAGGUUAGGUUUAGCCCUAUUGCGCAGCUCUUGUUUGAGUCCUAACCGUUGUAGGGAGGGACCUCUCAUUCAAAGAAUUAUCUGGUCUGAGUAAUAUGUAAUUGUAUUCGCGAGCUAGUUAGGGAAAGGUAGCAGGGACUUCUUAUGCAGCUGAUGGCGGAAAGUAGGUCGGAGAGUAGCCUAGGGCAAGCCGGUCUGAAUAAAGUACAAAUAAAUGUGGAAGGUAGUAUAGGCCUGCACUACAAAAAGCAGAGGAUCCAUACUCGAGUCAAGGAGGGCUGAGAUAGAACCAAGGAACUUGUAGUAUGUGAGACCUCUCGAGGUUAUGUGCGAUCCAGACAUGUUUAUGUUUUGUUUUAGAAUGGUGAUCACACGUCAUGAAGCAGGAAGUUCAGGGUCAGGAUUAGGCUCAGGAUCAGUUUCGGGUACCCUUGAGGUGACCCUGGUUAUUUUCGGGCUACGCGAGUUCAUUGCAUCGGAGAUCACAGGAGGUACCCUUUAGGUGACCCUGGUUAUUUUCGGGUUGAUCAAGGAAGGGAUCAUUGAGAUGAUGGAGGAACGCCUGAGGGCCUUCAGGAGCGACAUGGCAUCCAGCCAGNCAUGAUGUUAUGGUUUUAUGAAAUGACUUGACUCGAUGAUUUUUUCUUACAAAUGUUUUUCUAAAUCGUUAUAUCAAAAAUGAAAUUCUUGGUCUUGAAAAUCGGGAUGUUACCAGUUGAUAUCAGAGCCUUGGUUUGAGGGAUUCAGACACACCUUCGAGGGUUUGAAAGAUUUUUACAAGGA
rnacentral:lncRNA from 1 species